AAUAAGUGUUUUAUGGCACUUUUUAAAAUCCAUACCCACCUUGUGUGUAAUGUUGGGUCAUCCAUCAAGUAGUUUACGCUACAGCGAGGGAUGGCUUUUAACUAAACUCUUAUUCUCAUAACGAGUCUGUCUGAUAACAUAUUUUCGAAUUUACUUAAUUAAUAAAUUAAAACUUUUAACAACGGAUCUCUUGGUUCU
rnacentral:misc_RNA from 1 species